rnacentral:lncRNA from 1 species
GGAUCAAGAUUUUUGACGUAACCCUAAUCUGAUGAGAUUAGGUCACCCAAAGUGUCUCAAUCAAUAAGGACUCUUCCUAAUUGAUUUUAGAAUUAAACUCUUUUAAUUUUCAUGAGUCCACAAGUCAAGGUUGAUAUCUAGUAACGUGUCAUGACUAUCCAAAAGAUUUAAAAUUUUGAUAAAAAAUUAUCAAAAUAUCUUUUACUGGCA